rnacentral:tRNA from 1 species
CGGGCUGUAGCGCAGCUUGGCAGCGCGCCUCGUUCGGGACGAGGAGGCCGCCGGUUCAAAUCCGGCCAGCCCGA